GUCUGCAUUGCUCCCCUUUUUGAAGACAGGUUUUAUGUUGGCCCUUCUCCAGUCUUGUGGCUCCUCACCAUCCUCCUGGAGUUGUCAAAGAUCGUUGUUAACUGUUCCAAGAUUGCUUCAUCUAAUUCCUCAGGCUGCAGCGUAACAUCCAUGUUUUGCUCUAGCUCAUUCUGUCCUUCCAGAGACCAGGGAAAAGAAAUGGCUGCAGCGGAGCUAUUUGAGGGGCCAAUGGCCUUCGAGGAGGUGGCUGUGUAUUUCAGCAAAGAAGAGUGGGCUCUGCUGGACCCCGCUCAGAGAGCCCUUUACAGAGACGUCAUGCAGGAGAACUAUGAGAACGUGACCUCGUUGGGGUUUCCAGUUUCCAAAUCUCUCAUAAUCUCCCAACUCAAACAAGGGAAAGAGCCGUGGGUUCCAGACCUCCAGGGUUCAGAGGAAAGGGAAAUCCUGAGAGCUCCCUGCACAGCAGGUGAUGCAAUGCUAUGUGAGAAAGAGGAGCAGAAUUCUCACCAGGAAAAUGUUGAGCAAGUGGCUAAACACAGAGAAUUAUUGCAAAGAUCGAAAAGGCAUGUGUCCAGGAGUCAUGAACAGGGAAAAUCCCGAGAGAUUCAGCACAGACCAGAAAGAGAGCAAGGAAACCAUCCAGGGGAGAAAAUGAGUAAAUUUAUUUUCUGUUGGGGAACUCAGAAGACCAUCAAAGAAAACAAAACACAGCAGGAAAUCCUCAUGGGCAAGAGGAAAAAUACAUGCACUGAGUGUGGAAAAACCUUCACUUGCAGCUCAUCCCUUUCUGUUCAUCAGAGAAGCCACACAGGGGAGAGGCCUUAUGGAUGCUGUGAAUGUGGGAAAACAUUCACUUUCAGAUCAAGUCUUGUUCAUCAUAUGAGAAUCCACACAGGGAAGAGGCCCUAUAAGUGCAUUGAGUGUGGGAAAAGCUUCAUUCGGAGCUCUCAACUUACUGCGCAUCAGAGAAUCCACACAGGGGAGAGGCCCUAUGUAUGCAAUGAGUGUGGGAAAAGCUUCUUUAGCAGCUCAGUCCUUUCUCACCAUCAGAGAAUCCACACAGGGGAGAGGCCCUUUGAAUGCAGUGAGUGUGGGAAAAACUUCGCUGUCAGUUCAUUCCUUUCUAAACAUCAGAGAAUCCACACAGGGGAGAGGCCCUAUAAAUGCAGUGAAUGUGGGAAAAGAUUCACUCGGAGCUCUCACCUUACUACGCAUCAGAGAAUCCACACAGGGGAGAGGCCCUUUCAAUGCAGUGAGUGUGGGAAAACCUUCGCUUUCAGAUCCGUCCUUUCUAAACAUCAGAGAAUCCACACAGGGAAGAGGCCCUAUAAAUGCAUUGAGUGUGGGAAAAGCUUUAUUACCAGCUCAGACCUUUCUCACCAUCAGAGAAUCCACACGCGGGAGAGGCCCUAUAAAUGCAGUGAGUGUGAGAAAAGCUUUAUUACCAGCUCAGACCUUUCUCACCAUCAGAGAAUCCACACAGGGGAGAGGCCCUAUAAAUGCAGUGAGUGUGGGAAAAGCUUUAUUACCAGCUCAGACAUUUCUAAACAUCAGAGAAUCCACACGGGGGAGAGGCCCUAUAAAUGCAGUGAAUGUGGGAAAAGCUUCACUUGGAGCUCUCAACUUAUUGGACAUGAGAGAAUCCACACAGGGGAGAGGCCCUAUAAAUGCAGUGAUUGUGGGAAAAGCUUCACUCGGAGCUCUCAUCUUAUUGGACAUCAGAGAAUCCACACAGGGGAGAGGCCCUAUAAAUGCAGUGAAUGUGGGAAAAACUUCACUUGGAGCUCUCAACUUAUUGAACAUGAGAGAAUCCACACAGGGGAGAAACCCUAUAAAUGCAGUGAGUGUGGAAAAAGCUUCACUCGGAGCUCUCAACUUAUUGGACAUCAGAGAAUCCACACAGGGGAGCGGCCCUAUGUAUGCAAUGAGUGUGGGAAAAGCUUCUUUAGCAGCUCAGUCCUUUCUCACCAUCAGAGAAUCCACACAGGGGAGAGGCCCUAUAAAUGCAGUGAGUGUGGGAAAAGCUUUAUUACCAGCUCAGACAUUUCUAAACAUCAGAGAAUCCACACGGGGGAGAGGCCCUAUAAAUGCAGUGAAUGUGGGAAAAGCUUCACUUGGAGCUCUCAACUUAUUGGACAUCAGAGAAUCCACACAGGGGAGAGGCCCUAUAAAUGCAGUGAUUGUGGGAAAAGCUUCACUCGGGGCUCUCAACUUAUUGGACAUCAGAGAAUCCACACAGGGGAGAGGCCCUAUAAAUGCAGUGAUUGUGGGAAAAGCUUCACUUGCAGUUCUCAACUUAUUAGACAUGAGAGAAUCCACACAGGGGAGAGGCCCUAUAAAUGCAGUGAGUGUGGAAAAAGCUUUAUUACCAGCUCAGACCUUUCUAAACAUCAGAGAAUCCACACAGGGGAGAGGCCCUAUGUGUGCUCUGAGUGUGGGAAAAGCUUCACUCGGAGCUCUCAACUUAUUGGACAUCAGAGAAUCCACACAGGGGAGAGGCCCUAUGUGUGCUCUGAGUGUGGGAAAAGCUUCUAUAGCAGCUCAGCCCUUUCUUACCAUCAGAGAAUACACACAGGGGAGAGGCCCUAUAAAUGCAGUGAGUGUGGGAAAAGCUUUAUUACCAGCUCAUCCCUUUCUAGACAUCAGAGAAUCCACGAAGGGAAGAGGCCCUAUAAAUUCAGUGAAUGUGGGGAAAGCUUUAUUACCAGCUCAGAUCUUUCUCAACAUCAGAGAAUCCACACAGGGGAGAGGCCCUAUAAAUGCAGUGAAUGUGGGAAAAGCUUCACUUGGAGCUCUCAACUUACUGGGCAUCAGAGAAUCCACACAGGGGAGAGGCCCUAUAAAUGCAGUGAGUGUGGGAAAAGCUUCACUCGCAGCUCAGACCUUUCUAAACAUCAGAGAAUCCACACAGGGGAGAGGCCCUAUAAAUGCUGUGACUGUGGGAAAAGCUUCACUCGGAACUCUCAACUUACUAGGCAUCAGAGAAUCCACACGGGAGAGGCCCUAUGAAUGCACUGAGUGUGGGAAAAGCUUCUCUAGCAGCUCAGCUCUUUCUUACCAUCAGAGAAUCCACACAGGGGAGAGGCCCUAUAAAUGCCGUGUGUGUGGGAAAAGCUUCACGCGCAGCUCUCACCUUACUGGGCAUCAGAGAAUCCACACAGGGGAGAGGCCCUAUGAAUGCCGUGAGUGGGAAAACCUUAUCUUGCUACUGAGCCCAUGUGAGCCAUCAGAGAAUCUGCAAGAAGGAUCAACACUAUAAAGCCCUAUAGGCCUAUCGAUAGUUUAAUAGUUUUCUGAUUGCCACAUAGUAACUUUUAAAAGCUGUUUGAAGCACCGAUAUCCCUCAGCUUGUCCAGAUGAGUGGAUGGCCCAUUUUUGCAUUUUGCAGUUUGCCCUCUUUGCGGUGGACUCAUUUUCCUUUCUAACAACUCCAUUCUCCCGUGAGUAAUUCUAGUAUGCCUUUCCUAUCAGGAACCGAGGAGCAUCACAUUUAUACCAUUCUUCCUAUUGCAAAGUUAUUGUUAGAGUCACCAGCGAUACAGAUUGUAUCAUGGCCAAUUGUUCUCAUGUUGUGCUGAAGAGCAGUUAUAAUGGGAACUUUUCAUAUUGCAUUUAAAUGAAGAGGAGCAGGGGCAGGAAUAAAGUGUCAUUUCAGCCUCUGUGAUACUGGAAGGAUAUGGAAAAUUUGACAAGAGUCCUGUGGCACUUUAUAGACUAAAAUAUGUACUGGAGCAUAAGCAAUAUACAAAAACCUGUAGAAGAACACUUCAAUCUCCCUGGACGCAUAAUAGCAGACUUAAAAGGAGCCAUCCUGCAGCAACAAUACUUCAGGGCCAGACUUCAAAGAGAAACUGCUGAGCUUCAGUUCAUUUGCAAAUUUGACACCAUCAGCUCAGGAUUAAACAGAGACUGUGAAUGGCUAGCCAACUGCAGAAGCAGUUUCUCCUCCCUUGGUGUUCACACCUCAACUGGUAGAGGAGGGCUCCAUCCUCCCUGAUUUAACUAACCUUGUUCUCUAGCCUGAUUCUUGCUUACAUAUUUAUACUUGCCUCUGGAAAUUUCCACUACAUGCAUCUGACGAAGUGGGGAUUCACUCAUGAAAGCUUAUGCUCCAAUAUGUCUGUUAGUCUGCAAGGUGUCAUAGGACUCUUUGUCACGUUUCACAGAUCCAGAUUAACACAGCUACCCCUCUGCUACUUGGAAGGAGAUGGGGUGACCCAGAGAUUCCCUCCUUCCUCAUCAUGGCAGAACUGUUACCUUUUGUCUGAGCCAAGCAGGGUUUAUCGUCAUCACAUUCUACCCCUCCGCUUCUCAAAGUGUCAUGUGAUGAAGUGUUCUCAGUUGUCUGAGCUUGGAGAUGAUGCUCUGACUUAUUUAAUCCUAUAGCAGAGUUGCUAUGACUGGAGAUGAAAGUAUCAAAGACCGAGAAGGGGAAUUCAAAUGGAUCCUAAAUGCAGUGUGAUCAUUUCGAGUUUAAAUCUCAGGUUCCAUCUAUUGGUCAAGCCAAUUCUGGCAAGGUGGCUGCUUUUUCCCCCAUUAUGGGAAUGCUAGGAUACUAAACAUAUUGUAAAUAACAUAACUGAUUGUUGAGACAGUUCUCAAUGAAAUAUGUCUGAAUGGAUCAGAGAAGAAUGUGAUGAGAGAAUCUCUUGUCCUGAUUCUAAAUAAUUAGAUGUAACCUGCUCUGGAAUUUCAAUUUACACUUUCAUUGUCAUGUAUUCUAUCUCUCUGUGAUCUGGGUUUCUAUCUUUCUUUAUGGCUGUGUGGUCACACAAUUAGAUAUUAGUUCAGCUCAGAUUUAUUGGAGAAUUUCAGACAAAUGACCAUUUGCUAAAGUCAUCAUUUCUCACUUCAGCUUUGCUUUUUCCCCAUCCUUCCAUGAUGAUAUGGAGAAAGUUCAAGUGCAGUUCUGUCAAUAGGAGAGAACUCUCCAAUUUACUGGCCAUGCUAACGACGACACAGCAGUGAUUUAAAAACUCCACUUGGAAAUGGUGAACAAUAGCAGACCCCCGACUAACUGAAGAAAGUGCAUAUGACCACAGUGUAGUUCAAUUGUUUAGAUCAAUAUUUUCUCAGAUGGCUAUGUUGGCAGGAGAAGCUCUCCUGCUGAUGUAGCGCUAUCUACACAGGGGAUUAGAGAUGUGUAACGAUGUUGCUCAGCUGUGUUGAUUUUUCACACCCCUGAGCAAUAAUUAUACUGAGAAAUGUCUUUAGUGUAGACCAGACAAUUCUCCCUUGUGUUUUCUGCAUUUGUAUCACUUCUCCCCUACUUUCUACUACUUUGAAAGAUUUAAAGUAUGAAAAGAGAGGUAUUUUUCCUCAUGAUGCUAACAUUCCCACAUAGGAGACCCCUUCCACCAACACGCAUGGCAGAAGAACCAGAGGUAUAUGAACUCACAGAAAUGUUGGGACAGAGCACAACUUGUGCCAAAGUUCAGUUGUUGGCAGUGGGCAUUAAAAGAAAACUAACGUAUGUGACCAGAAUUUGUGAUCUUUGAAUAUAUUAGUGUUACUAGUGAAAAUGAAAUGAUAGGUGAUGUUAUUGGUUAAAGAGUAAGAGACUAAUUGUUUGAUAAUCUGAAUUAUUUUGGAAAACUGAAA